AGACUAGCGGUAGGGGGGGUCUGGUGAAAUAGACAGGCUGUUAGAGGGGUCCUGGUGAAUAGACCAGGCUUGUAGAGGGGGUCUGUUGAAUAGACUAGGCUGUAGAUAGGGGAGGCUGGUGAAUAGACCAGGCUGUAGAGGGGGUCUGGUGAAAGACAGGCUGUUAGAGGGGGUCUGGGUGAAUUGAAGAACUUUGUUCACCAGGGCAUCCGGGCUCCAUUAAUGUCAUGAGAUACACCUAAAUGCCACCCUUGACCCUCUUCCCUAUACAGUGGUACUACUAUAGACCCUCUUCCCUAUAUAGUGGUACUACUAUAGACCCUCUUCCCUAUACAGUGCACUACUAUAGACCCUCUUCCUAUACAGUGCAACUACUAUAGACCCUCUCCCUUUACAUCACUAUAUAAGUGCACUACAUAGACCCCAUUCCCGUAUACAGUGCACUACUUAGACCCUCUUCCCUAUACAGUGGCACUACUAUAGACCCUCUUUCCUAUAAGUGCACUACUAUAGACCCUAUUUUUCCCUUACAGUGCAUACGAUGACCCUCUCCCUUACAG
rnacentral:lncRNA from 1 species